rnacentral:misc_RNA from 1 species
GAUGAAGAACGCAGCGAAAUGCGAUAAGUAGUGUGAAUUGCAGAAUUCAGUGAAUCAUCGAAUCUUUGAACGCACAUUGCGCCCCUUGGUAUCCCGAGGGGCAUGCCUGUUCGAGCGUCAUUUCACCACUCAAGCCUGGCUUGGUGUUGGGCGACGUCCCCUUUGGGGACGCGCCUCGAAACGCUCGGCGGCGUGGCGCCGGCUUUAAGAGUAGCAGAAUCUUUCGCUUUGGAAGUCGGGGCCCCGUCUGCCGGAAGACCUACUCGCAAGGUUGACCUCGGAUCAGGCAGGGAUACCCGCUGAACUUAAGCAUAUCAAUAAGCGGAGGA